rnacentral:rRNA from 1 species
GGUCCAGACUCCUACGGGAGGCAGCAGUGGGGGAUAUUGCACAAUGGGGGAAACCCUGAUGCAGCGACGCCGCGUGAGCGAUGAAGUAUUUCGGUAUGUAAAGCUCUAUCAGCAGGGAAGAAAAUGACGGUACCUGACUAAGAAGCCCCGGCUAACUACGUGCCAGCAGCCGCGGUAAUACGUAGGGGGCAAGCGUUAUCCGGAUUUACUGGGUGUAAAGGGAGCGUAGACGGCUGUGCAAGCCAGAUGUGAAAGCCCAGGGCUCAACCCCGGGACUGCAUUUGGAACUGCGUGGCUUGAGUGUCGGAGAGGCAGGCGGAAUUCCUAGUGUAGCGGUGAAAUGCGUAGAUAUUAGGAGGAACACCAGUGGCGAAGGCGGCCUGCUGGACGAUGACUGACGCUGAGGCUCGAAAGCGUGGGGAGCAAACAGGAUUAGAUACCCCCGUAG